GACGAACGCUGGCGGCGUGCUUAACACAUGCAAGUCGAACGGAAAGGCCCUGCUUUUGUGGGGUGCUCGAGUGGCGAACGGGUGAGUAACACGUGAGUAACCUGCCCUUGACUUUGGGAUAACUUCAGGAAACUGGGGCUAAUACCGGAUAGGAGCUCCUGCUGCAUGGUGGGGGUUGGAACGUUUCGGCGGAUGGGGAUGGACUCGCGGCUUAUCAGCUUGUUGGUGGGGUAGUGGCUUACCAAGGCUUUGACGGGUAGCCGGCCUGGGAGGGUGACCGGCCACAUUGGGACUGAGAUACGGCCCAGACUCCUACGUGAGGCAGCAGUGGGGAAUAUUGCACAAUGGGCGGAAGCCUGAUGCAGCAACGCCGCGUGCGGGAUGACGGCCUUCGGGUUGUAAACCGCUUUCGCCUGUGACGAAGCGUGAGUGACGGUAAUGGGUAAAGAAGCACCGGCUAACUACGUG
rnacentral:rRNA from 1 species